GAAGGGGGAGCAUAGAACUGGUAGGUACGUGUAGUUGUGAGUAGAGGUUGGAGGAGUUUGAACUGCUAGUCCCCAAAAAAUGAUUGAUGUUGUGAAAGCAACAACGAAUGCGUGAAAAAGUUCUCUGACAGAUGUUGAUUAUGGUUAUAGUCUCGGCUCAGACUCUUUUUCUUCUUUUGGUGGCUAUUUCGUUUGUGUGCUUUUGUGUUUGGUCCUUCUGAACUCGUCUUUUUUUUUUUUUGGCGGUGGCUCGACGAUGUCGUUAGUCAUAGUAUACAUGUUUUUCGGCAGAGGUCUCGCAUUCGAAUAGGCAGUUAGAAACUUUGAGUGCUUUUUUGCUUUAGACUUUUAUGAACUAAUUAUUUUCUAUGU
rnacentral:lncRNA from 1 species